rnacentral:misc_RNA from 1 species
GAUGAAGAACGCAGCGAAAUGCGAUAAGUAAUGUGAAUUGCAGAAUUCAGUGAAUCAUCGAAUCUUUGAACGCACAUUGCGCCCGCCAGUAUUCUGGCGGGCAUGCCUGUUCGAGCGUCAUUUCAACCAUCAAGCCCCCGGCUUGUGUUGGGGACCUGCGGCUGCCGCAGGCCCUGAAAAGCAGUGGCGGGCUCGCUGUCACACCGAGCGUAGUAGCAUACAUCUCGCUCUGGGCGUGCUGCGGGUUCCGGCCGUUAAACCACCUUCAUAACCCAAGGUUGACCUCGGAUCAGGUAGGGAGACCCGCUGAACUUAAGCAUAUCAAUAAGCGGAGGA